rnacentral:rRNA from 1 species
CUGCAACUCGCCUGCAUGAAGGUGGAAUUGCUAGUAAUCGCGAAUCAGAAUGUCGCGGUGAAUACGUUCCCGGGCCUUGUACACACCGCCCGUCACACCAUGAGAGUCGAUAACACCCGAAGCCUGUGAGCUAACCUUUCAGGAGGCAGCAGUCGAAGGUGGGGUUGAUGAUUGGGGUGAAGUCGUAACAAGGUAGC